rnacentral:lncRNA from 1 species
AUGGCAGGCACCUUGAAUCCAUGUCUCCUUUUGGAGGCAAAAUUUUUCUGAGAUGAUUUUCGUACUAGGAAUACACACAAGCGAGCUAAAUACAUAUACCGGUGGAUUUUUAAGGGGUAUUAGUGCUAAGUCUGAUUGUGACUAGUCCAUAUAAAAAUGUAAAGCGUUUGUUCAUUUUGUGUGUCGGGUAGCUAGUUUUAUUUUAAAUUUGCUGAAUUUUACUUCAAAACGUGAAAAAUUCCAGAUUCCCAUAUUAGUAUAUGAUUAUCUUUAAAAGAUUCUGCCCUUAUAAAACUGGGUUUUUCUGCUUAAGUCGGAUUUCAUUUUUGGCAUUGAAGAAAGUCAUUUGUCACUCCGAACCAUGGACACUAAAAGAGGAAGUUCCAAAGAAUUAAGACCGAAAAUAGCUUUAGACUUAUAUGGUUCUUCAGCGUUUAUUUUACAUGGCUUUCACCUUCUUAUAAUCAUGAUGCUGUUCAUGCAAUAUUAGCAUACAGUCAAAGUGCAGAAGAACUUCUGAGGCGUAGAAAAGUCCACCGAGAAGUUAUAUUUAAGUACUUGGCAACACAGGGGAUUGUUAUACCUC